GAUGAACGCUGGCGGCGUGCCUAAUACAUGCAAGUCGAGCGAACAGACGAGGAGCUUGCUCCUCUGACGCUAGCGGCGGACGGGUGAGUAACACGUGGAUAACCUACCUAUAAGACUGGGAUAACUUCGGGAAACCGGAGCUAAUACCGGAUAAUAUAUUGAACCGCAUGGUUCAAUAGUGAAAGACGGUUUUGCUGUCACUUAUAGAUGGAUCCGCGCCGCAUUAGCUAGUUGGCAAGGUAACGGCUUACCAAGGCAACGAUGCGUAGCCGACCUGAGAGGGUGAUCGGCCACACUGGAACGGUGACACGGUCCAGACGCCUACGGGAGGCAGCAGUAGGGAAUCUUCCGCAAUGGGCGAAAGCCUGACGGAGCAACGCCGCGUGAGUGAUGAAGGUCUUCGGAUCGUAAAACUCUGUUAUUAGGGAAGAACAAAUGUGUAAGUAACUAUGCACGUCUUGACGGUACCUAAGCAGAAAGCCACGGCUAACUA
rnacentral:rRNA from 1 species